GGUGCUGUGGCUUAGUUGGUUUAAGCCCCUGUCUAGUAAACAGGAGAUCCUGGGUCCAAAUCCCAGCAGUGCCU
rnacentral:tRNA from 1 species